GAUGAACGCUAGCGGCAGGCCUAAUACAUGCAAGUCGGACGGGAUUUGGGAGCUUGCUUCUGAUGAGAGUGGCGCACGGGUGCGUAACACGUAUGUAACCUACCUUAAUCUGGGGGAUAGCCUCUCGAAAGAGAGAUUAACACCGCAUAACAUUACGACGCAGCAUUGCGAUGUAAUCAAAUAUUUAUAGGAUUAAGAUGGGCAUGCGGAACAUUAGCUAGUUGGUAAGGUAAUGGCUUACCAAGGCUACGAUGUUUAGGGGAUCUGAGAGGAUGGCCCCCCCACACUGGUACUGAGACACGGACCAGACUCCUACGGGAGGCAGCAGUAAGGAAUAUUGGUACAAUGGGACGGAAGCCUGAACCAGCCAUGCCGCGUGCA
rnacentral:rRNA from 1 species